rnacentral:lncRNA from 1 species
AGAGGUGCCAAGCCCUGCCAGACAGGUCUUCAAGCGAAAGCAGAACUGGUGACCUAUAAAUAUCCACAAGGUGCCGGAACACAUGAACAAAGAGAUAGGGACAAAUAUUACAGAUGUUUGAGAGUCUGGAUCUCCAGUCGAAGAAAGAAUAAAAAGAGCCCUGGUACAAUACUGGUAGACAGAGAACUGGUAGGCGAGGCUGGGAAACCAGAUAACAAAGCCCACGGCGAUUCAGAACCCAGAGUAAACAGGCUGGAAGCGAGGCUGAGCAGCUCUCCUGCCUAAGGCAUGGACUUUGCCAGACAGACCCCGGACUCUCUUCAUCUUCCGCCCUGAUGACCCUUCAACUCUGAACUACUCUGCUGCAAUAGAGGAAGCAUUUACAGGGAAGACACUACAACAUGAAACACGAAGGCUUGACAGAUUUUCCUCUUCUCAUUUUAUUCAAGUUCGGCAAAUGUCUAAUAGGUUGAUUCCCUGCAUAAGUAAUUUUCCCAAAAGAUAGUAUCUUUCUAAUUGGGAAAUGAAGAACCCUCCCGAUAAAGUCUACAACAUUGCUGAAAGUUAGAAUCACAUGCAAUCAGUCCAGCCACUGAGAAACACUUCAACUGACCCGCAUGAAAAAUGCCCAUCUAGCUCUGUGACCUUAAACUAGUAACUUUACCUCUGU